rnacentral:misc_RNA from 1 species
AAAUACCCUAUAUAUAGAGUAUUUCGUAAGCUUUACGUCUAUUACUAAAAGAAAAUCGACACUUUUAAAUUCAUGCCCUGCAAUUAAACUAAAUCUUUACACAAAUUAUUGAAUAUUAAAAUAAAACCAUGCUCAAUUAUACAAUACAUGAAAACGUAAUUAAUAAUUUCAUUGAAUUUUCCGUUAGAUAUUGUUCGACAACUUAUGAAACAUCCUGCAUAUAAUAUAUUUAUAUACUAUGUACAAACGCAUUAUCGAAUUCAUUAUGGGUACUCUAUUGCUGCGAUCAACCUAUUAUGUUUGGUACAGAAAAGGAUCGCUGCGUUUUAAAUAAAAUCCGUCCAGUCUUGUUAAUGACGUAUACGUCGUCAUUAUUGUACAAAUUGAUGGAGCGUGAUAUGUAUAAGGGACAAGUUACAAUGUGUUUUCCAGGCAGACAUAAGGUAGACAUAGGUAGAUGCGAACAUAGACAUCGAAAGAGUAAACACAGGUUCAUUCAAAAAUAU